GAUGAACGCUAGCUACAGGCUUAACACAUGCAAGUCGAGGGGUAACAUUGGCUGAGCUUGCUCUGCCAGAUGACGACCGGCGGAUGGGUGAGUAACGCGUAUCCAACCUGGCCCUAUCUCGGGGACAGCCCCUCGAAAGAGGGAUUAAUACCCGAUGUUCCCUGGUUUCCGCAUGUUUACCAGGGCAAAGGCUUUUGUCGGAUAGGGAUGGGGAUGCGUUCCAUUAGGCAGUCGGCGGGGUAACGGCCCACCGAGCCUACGAUGGAUAGGGGUUCUGAGAGGAAGGCCCCCCACACUGGGACUGAGACACGGCCCAGACUCC
rnacentral:rRNA from 1 species